rnacentral:rRNA from 1 species
CCUACGGGUGGCAGCAGUGAGGAAUAUUGGUCAAUGGUCGGAAGUCUGAACCAGCCAUGCCGCGUGCAGGAAGACGGCUCUAUGAGUUGUAAACUGCUUUUGUACGAGAAUAAACCUGAAUACGUGUCUCCAGCUGAAAGUACUGUACGAAUAAGGAUCGGCUAACUCCGUGCCAGCAGCCGCGGUAAUACGGAGGAUACGAGCGUUAUCCGGAUUUAUUGGGUUUAAAGGGUGCGUAGGCGGAUUGUUAAGUUAGCGGUGAAAUGUCCGGGCUUAACCCGGGAACUGCCUGUAAUACUGGUAGUCUAGAGUGUAGGUGCGGUAGGCGGAAUGUGCGGUGUAGCGGUGAAAUGCAUAGAGAUCAUGCAGAACACCGAUUGCGAAGGCAGCUUACCAAUCUAACACUGACGCUGAGGCACGAAAGCGUGGGGAGCAAACAGGAUUAGAUACCCCGGUAGUC